UAAGGAAUAUUGCUCAAUGGGAGAAAUCCUGAAGCAGCAACGCCGCGUGGAGGAUGAAGGGUCUAUGACUUGUAAACUCCUGUAAAGAAGGAAAAAAUUCCCAUUUGAUGGGAGAUGAUGGUACUUCUGGAGUAAGCCCCGGCUAACUACGUGCCAGCAGCCGCGGUAAUACGUAGGGGGCAAGCGUUGUCCGGAUUUACUGGGUGUAAAGGGUGCUCAGGCGGAUUUGUAAGUCAGAGGUGAAAUCUUACAGCUUAACUGUGAAACUGCCUUUGAUACUGCAAGCCUAGGGUAUGGAAGAGAGUGAUGGAAUAUCUGGUGUAGCAGUGAGAUGCGUAGAUAUCAGAUAGAACACCAAUGGCGAAGGCAGUCACUUGGUCCAUUACUGACGCUAAAGCACGAAAGCGUGGGUAGCAAACA
rnacentral:rRNA from 1 species